GGCCUUGAUUCUAUCAGGUCUAAACAAGCAGAAAUACCAAGCAAUCAGAGCCCCCCAAUCAUGGCCCACCAGAAACACUUGCUCGAUCCCGAAGGCAUCAAGGAGGCCGACGAGAUCUCCCACGACGUGGAGCCCCGUGUAGUCAUUAACGGAUGGGGGAGAGUCAGUGUCUCCGAAGCCGCGAAGAUCAGGGGCUAAGCAACGAUAACCAAGGGAAGAGAGAGAGAGGAGCUGGUGUCGCCAAGAGUACCAGAGU
rnacentral:misc_RNA from 1 species